UACGGAGGGUGCGAGCGUUAAUCGGAAUUACUGGGCGUAAAGCGCGCGUAGGCGGUUUGUUAAGUCAGCUGUGAAAGCCCGGGCUCAACCUGGGAACUGCAGUUGAUACUGACCGACUAGAGUACGAGAGAGGGAGGUAGAAUUCCAUGUGUAGCGGUGAAAUGCGUAGAUAUAUGGAGGAAUACCGGUGGCCGAAGGCGGCCUCCUGGCUCGAUACUGACGCUGAGGUGGCGAAAAGCG
rnacentral:rRNA from 1 species